GGAGUUUAGCGUGUGCGCAAGUCAUUGGGUGUAAAAACCUAAAGGCGAAAUGAAAGUGAAGGAAACUCUGCUUUCCGAGGGAGGAUGGGUUAGGUCCCUCUCCAGGGCCGGCCUCGCACUCCCGGGGCGUCUCCAUCUCAUCGCGAGAGGAGGCGCACCUAGAGCGUACACGCUGAUACCCGAAAGAUGGUGAACUAUGCCUGGCCAGGACGAAGCCAGGGGAAACCCUGGUGGAGGUCCGCAGCGAUUCUGACGUGCAAAUCGAUCGUCGGAGCUGGGUUUAGGGGCGAAAGACCAAUCGAACCAUCUAGUAGCUGGUUCCCUCUGAAGUUUCCCUCAGGAUAGCUUGCGCUCGGAUGAAACGAGUCUCAUCCGGUAGAGCGAAUGAUUAGAGGCCUUGGGGUCGAAACGACCUCAACCUAUUCUCAAACUCCAAAUAGAUGAGAACCCCGGCUUUCUUGAACCCUGUUUAUGAAGCCGGGGGCUCGGAUCAGAGUGCCAAGUGGCCAAUU
rnacentral:rRNA from 1 species